UGCGAGUUCAAUUUUUCCUGGUCUCAAAUACUUUCUGGAAGGGGACCCGGGUUUAUGGGCGGAUAUCAAGCCCCUUAAAUGCGGGGAAGAUAGAAACCUAUGAUAGGGUUCCCACUUGUUUUUACAAGGCCGGAAAAGUUAAAGAACGCCACAGGCGGUACCCCC
rnacentral:other from 1 species